AGGGUUUGAUUCUGGCUCAGGAUGAACGCUAGCUACAGGCUUAACACAUGCAAGUCGAGGGGCAGCAUGAUUGAAGCUUGCUUCAAUUGAUGGCGACCGGCGCACGGGUGAGUAACGCGUAUCCAACCUUCCGCUUACUCGGGGAUAGCCUUUCGAAAGAAAGAUUAAUACCCGAUGGUAUGAUGAGAUUGCAUGAUAGCAUCAUUAAAGAUUUAUUGGUAAGCGAUGGGGAUGCGUUCCAUUAGGUAGUAGGCGGGGUAACGGCCCACCUAGCCUACGAUGGAUAGGGGUUCUGAGAGGAAGGUCCCCCACAUUGGAACUGAGACACGGUCCAA
rnacentral:rRNA from 1 species